rnacentral:lncRNA from 1 species
UAUAUUUUAAUGCUUAAUGUGCAAAAUUUUUUAUAUCAAAUAAUAGAUACAUCUUUUUAAUAUGCAGUAAUUAAUUACAAGUAAUCAAAUAUGUGUGUGAAGAUCAUACUAAAUAAAAAAGAACUGUAUAAGAGGAGGACAAAAAAUGUAUAUAGGUUAAACGAGAAAAAGUGAAGUCUCACGACACAUAACCGAGUGAAAAGGAAGCGAUACAUUGGCUCUCAUUGUUCUGUAGUCCUCCAUAUAAAAUUUUGUUCUAAACGCUUUCUUCUACUACCUCUCAUUGACCUAGUUGAUUGUAAUUGUACAGAUCUCGUAUUAAGUCGGUCGUCAGUUAAAAAUUUCUUAUAGGUCUGUCUGUGUCAUUUUCUGGUUCUAACGAUUUAUAAAAGCUCCACUUUUACUUGAACGAACAGUAUUUUAUUAUGUAUUAGGAUAUCCCAUAAGUAAUGAUACAGUCGUCGGUUUCCUUAUGCUAACCAAAAAUAAGAGAUUACCUGUUGGCAAUCAAUUAAUGAUGGAUUUUCUUGCAUUUUUUAUAAUUCUUUACCUUUAUCUAUUAAAUAUUCUUUUCAAAUUUUGUAAAACUUUGAUAGCAACAACAUCCAUUAUUUUAAAUUUAACUCUCAUAAAAAUGGUAUUACAUCCCGUCUAUAUAUUUUGAUGACACCCUCCGACCUAAUAUGGGAUGAUAAUAAUUGCAGUCACAUCUUUACGAUUUCAGAGGCUCCUACAAAUGGGAGUAAGCGCAUUCUUGCACGUGUGCUUCGAGUGACGUGGUGGACAGACUGGAUGCAAUGAGCAUAUACCGUCCCAUACUCGGAGCGCCACACCGUCUAAGAAUGUGCAGACUCAGCGAUCACGAGUGCUGCAACGUUGUUGCGGGGGAACCCCAAUUUUAAAAAGUGGAAGUUGAGACGAGUAGUCGGUAUCGCGAAUUCACAAGUCUUUUGCCCCGAUUUGUAUACGUUUUGAGUAAGUCUCGCACCUGUACGGCAGAUAUCCGUAAAAAGGCAAUAGGCUUAAAUCUGUGGGAUAGUGUAGAGCUUUGUCCGGUAGAUGUCCAGCGUUGCCCAAAUGAUUGUGCGUAAAUCUAGUUCGCACAUUGAAACAAUGACAUAAUCUUUUGUAACAUAACUUGUUGUAACGUUUGUACAACUCUGAUAUACAAACGUAGACUGGGACAACGGUACUACGAGACUGAGAGGAAAAACACUCAAACAAGUUAUCAUAAAUAAAAGUGUAUUAUUAUUCAUCGGAUUCAAUACAUUUCUCUCUUUCUUCGACACUAUCCCCUCUUUACACAAAUAAAGGUCGGAUCCACAUUAAAAAUAAAGAUAAAGUUUAGGCGCUUAUUCAAUUGUGUGACAUGCUCGCUACCAAAUACCGCACGUUACAACAGCAUUACUUAUGGAGUGACCCAAUAUUUAUACUUGACACAUAAUUUAAUAUCAUUAAUAUUUGAUAAUAUUGUAGUAUCGUAAGAAAAAGCCUGAUUAGAAAUCGAUCAAAACAGUGCCGUCUGUCCUUCGAUUGUUAGUUUACAUAGGGAAAAAGCCUAUGUGACUAAAGUCACCUAGUUCUUGCGGAGCGUUAACAGGAUGGGAUUAAAGAGAGGAAAAAAUAACGAGAGUUGUUGAUCGAGAAGCGUUGAGCGGUUGACCGAGAAGUGAGAGUGAGUCAAGAGGUCAGAGUUAAUCGAGGAGUCGAAGAGUAGAGUUGUUAGCAUUGUGGUGUUGCGAGAGUUGUUAGCGUUGUUGAGAGAUUGAGUGGUUAGCGUUGUGGAGUUGCGUGAGUUACUAGCGUAGCUGAAAGAUUGAGUUGUUAGCGUUGUCCAGUUGCGAAAGUGAUCGAAUUGAAAUAGGUGCUAGAUCAAGUAAUAUUGGAAAUGAAACAUGCCUUGUUACUUUUCGAAAAUCGACUCGUUGUGCUUGAAAUCGUUUUAAAUGGAA